rnacentral:rRNA from 1 species
AGGACGAACGCUGGCGGCGUGCCUAACACAUGCAAGUCGAACGCGCUCCAUUCGGUAGCAAUACUGAUGAAGAGCGAGUGGCGAACGGGUGAGUAGCACGUGAGCAACCUGCCCCGAAGACCGGGACAACACCGGGAAACCGGUGCUAAUACCGGAUAUCCCUAUCGGACCGCAUGAUCUGAUAAGGAAAUGGAUUCCGCUUCGGGAGGGGCUCGCGGCCUAUCAGCUAGUUGGUGAGGUAACGGCCCACCAAGGCAUCGACGGGUAGCUGGUCUGAGAGGACGAUCAGCCACACUGGGACUGAGACACGGCCCAGACUCCUACGGGAGGCAGCAGUGGGGAAUCUUGCGCAAUGGGCGAAAACCUGACGCAGCAACGCCGCGUGGAGGACGAAGGCUUUCUGAGUUGUAAACUCCUUUCAGCAGGGACGAUAGUGACGGUACCUGCAGAAGAAGCACCGGCCAACUACGCGCCAGCAGCCG